UAGGGAAUCUUCCGCAAUGGGCGAAAGCCUGACGGAGCAACGCCGCGUGAGUGAUGAAGGUCUUCGGAUCGUAAAACUCUGUUAUUAGGGAAGAACAAAUGUUUAAGUAACUAUGCACAUCUUGACGGUACCUAAUCAGAAAGCCACGGCUAACUACGUGCCAGCAGCCGCGGUAAUACGUAGGUGGCAAGCGUUAUCCGGAAUUAUUGGGCGUAAAGCGCGCGUAGGCGGUUUUUUAAGUCUGAUGUGAAAGCCCACGGCUCAACCGUGGAGGGUGAUUGGAAACUGGAAAACUUGAGUGCAGAAGAGGAAAGUGGAAUUCCAUGUGUAACGGUGAAAUGCGCAGAGAUAUGGAGGAACACCAGUGGCGAAGGCGACUUUCUGGUCUGUAACUGACGCUGAUGUGCGAAAGCGUGGGGAUCAAACAGG
rnacentral:rRNA from 1 species